UCAGAUGCCUGCUUACAAUAUCCAUGGAUCUCCCAGCUGCAUUCUGUGUGUAUUGGUCAAACAAGAGUGACAAGAGAGCACGAUGUCCACUCCCUGCCGGCUGAGCAUCACGGGGUGACUGGGGUCCUGACAAUGGAGAUCCACAAGUUGUCAGAGUUUGUCCUGUUCAGUCCUUAUAAAAGCUGUAGAUCAAACAUCAAAGGUCUGCAGACCAGGGAUUGUCAGGAGUUUAGGCAGCAGUUCUGUGCUGAAGAAUGCAGACACCAGCACCAAACAGCAGUGUCUUCAAGGGAGCGAGAGAAGCGCUGGCACAGUGAAAUGUCCUCCUUAUCUGUGCAACUGGUUGGUUGGUUUUGUUUGUUUUAACUCUGUCCUCCGUCUCCGCUUCCCAGCAUUUGAACCUCAGCUAGUUAUAGUUGGGAUUGCAAUGACAAGAUGACAAGAUUGUACUCCUGUUGCAUAGAACUCAUGUAAGAGAGUAGAAAAAGUUAAAAUAGCACAAACAAUUGCAAAGGUAAGCCUUUGAAAGUAAAAAAUGACCAUGCUUAGUCCAUAUAUACCUCCUUAAUUUCCAAUUAUGAGGAGUCUGUGACAUUUCCUGCCUGCUGUAUGCCCAGGCUCUAAGCAGAAGCCUGGAUGCCAGAAGGGUUAUUAAAUGUGCCCUUCCUUCUUCCAUAGCAGAGCCUGUGCCAUUGUGGGAGCUCAUGUGGCCACAUGGUGGUCUUGCUGAAAACUCAGCUAGAGAACAGAACCACUUUUAGUUUGGAUCACUUUCCUGCCCCAUUUCGUUGCUCUGCUGCACAAGUGUUCACACAGAUGGGUGAAGGAGCAGAAGCAAAAGACAUUACUUCUCUUGCUGCUUAUGCUUGUGUUGAUCCAGGCUGCUUGCGGAAAUGUGGACACUGCAGCCUCUCACUUGGGAAGUUUUGCAGCUGUUAGUGUCAGUAGUGAGGGAUGAAGAAAGUCGUAUUGAGGGGGGAAAACUCCUAAGUCCAGACUUGUGCCUAAGCAGCGUCCUGAGAUGGGAUCUGUGUGGCCUGGUCGCAUGCAGGAGAGGGCAAGGAAAGUGCAGCACUACUUUAUUUUCAGUUGCUAAGUCGAACAGCAAUAAAGCUCAUUGGAUGUACACAGGUUGAAAAGAGAUUAUCAUUUUUUUUCACUGCUUGAGUUAGAGGGAUUAUCUUUUGCUGUAGUAAAGUUAGUAGUCUUUUUAUGCUCUUAAUUUGCCCAGUAGUGGGUUCUGCUCUGCACUUCUGG